GACGUAGGGCGCGAGCGUUGUCCGGAAUUAUUGGGCGUAAAGAGCUCGUAGGCGGUGUGUCGCGUCGGCCGUGAAAACCUGCAGCUUAACUGUGGGCUUGCGGUCGAUACGGGCAUCACUGGAGUUCGGCAGGGGAGACUGGAAUUCCUGGUGUAGCGGUGAAAUGCGCAGAUAUCAGGAAGAACACCCGUGGCGAAGGCGGUUCUCUGGGACGGUACUGACGACCUGGAGACGCGAAAGCGUGGGGGAGCGAACAGG
rnacentral:rRNA from 1 species